rnacentral:rRNA from 1 species
GACGAACGCUGGCGGCGUGCCUAAUACAUGCAAGUUGAGCGCUGAAGGUUGGUACUUGUACCAACUGGAUGAGCAGCGAACGGGUGAGUAACGCGUGGGGAAUCUGCCUUUGAGCGGGGGACAACAUUUGGAAACGAAUGCUAAUACCGCAUAAAAACUUUAAACACAAGUUUUAAGUUUGAAAGAUGCAAUUGCAUCACUCAAAGAUGAUCCCGCGUUGUAUUAGCUAGUUGGUGAGGUAAAGGCUCACCAAGGCGAUGAUACAUAGCCGACCUGAGAGGGUGAUCGGCCACAUUGGGACUGAGACACGGCCCAAACUCCUACGGGAGGCAGCAGUAGGGAAUCUUCGGCAAUGGACGAAAGUCUGACCGAGCAACGCCGCGGGAGUGAAGAAGGUUUUCGGAUCGUGAAACUCUGUUGGUAGAGAAGAACGUUGGUGAGAGUGGAAAGCUCAUCAAGUGACGGUAACUACCCAGAAAGGGACGGCUAACUACGUG